rnacentral:rRNA from 1 species
AGAGUUUGAUCCUGGCUCAGAACGAACGCUGGCGGCGUGGAUAAGACAUGCAAGUCGAGCGAGAUUUUUUCCUGUAGCAAUACAGGGAAAAGUCUAGCGGCAAACGGGUGCUUAACACGUGGGCAACCUGCCGAGAAGUGGGGGAUAGCUCGCCGAAAGGCGAAUUAAUACCGCAUGUGAUUAGAGAGGACAUCCUUUCGAAAUCAAAGUCGGGGCAACCUGACGCUUUUUGUGGGGCCCGCGGCCUAUCAGCUAGUUGGUGAGGUAACGGCUCACCAAGGCUUUGACGGGUAGCUGGUCUGAGAGGACGACCAGCCACACUGGGACUGAGACACGGCCCAGACACCUACGGGUGGCAGCAGUCGAGAAUUUUUCUCAAUGGGGGAAACCCUGAAGGAGCGACGCCGCGUGGAGGAUGAAGGUCUUCGGAUUGUAAACUUCUGUCAUUGGGGAACAAGGUGCAUACGUUAACUGCGUGUGCAUUGAUAGUACCCGAAGAGGAAGAGACGGCUAACUCUGUGCCAGCAGCCGCGGUAAUACAGAGGUCUCAAGCGUUGUUCGGAUUCAUUGGGCGUAAAGGGUGCGUAGGCGGCGCGGUAAGUCGGGUGUGAAAUCUUGGAGCUUAACUCCGAAACUGCAUUCGAUACUGCCGUGCUUGAGGACUGGAGAGGAGACUGGAAUUUACGGUGUAGCGGUGAAAUGCGUAGAUAUCGUAAGGAAGACCAGUGGCGAAGGCGGGUCUCUGGACAGUUCCUGACGCUGAGGCACGAAGGCCAGGGGAGCAAACGGGAUUAGAUACCCCGGUAGUCC